rnacentral:tRNA from 1 species
GCUAAGAGUGUAGCUCAGUGAUAGAGUGCUUGCCUAGCAUGCAAGAGGCCCUAGUUCCAUCCCCAGCACAGCA